rnacentral:tRNA from 1 species
UCUGCGAUAGCUCAACGGUAGAGCAAUCGGCUGUUAACCGAUAGGUUACUGGUUCGAAUCCAGUUCGCAGAGCCA